AGGACGAACGCUGGCGGCGUGCUUAACACAUGCAAGUCGAGCGGAAAGGCUUCCUUCGGGGGGUACUCGAGCGGCGAACGGGUGAGUAACACGUGAGUAAUCUGCCCCUCACUCUGGGAUAACUGCCUGAAAGGGUGGCUAAUACCGGAUGCGACCGUCCCCUGCAUGGGGUGGUGGUGGAAAGGGUUUCUGGUGGGGGAUGUGCUCGCGGCCUAUCAGCUUGUUGGUGGGGUAAUGGCCUACCAAGGCUUUGACGGGUA
rnacentral:rRNA from 1 species